rnacentral:rRNA from 1 species
UACGUAGGGGGCGAGCGUUGUCCGGAAUCAUUGGGCGUAAAGAGCGCGUAGGCGGCUUGGCAAGUCUGACGUGAAAGCCCGCGGCUCAACCGCGGAUUGUCGUUGGAAACUGCCUCGCUAGAGUCCGGAAGAGGAGAGCGGAAUUCCUGGUGUAGCGGUGGAAUGCGCAGAUAUCAGGAAGAACACCCGUGGCGAAGGCGGCUCUCUGGGACGGUACUGACGCUGAGACGCGAAAGCGUGGGGAGCGAACAGG